GAUGUUGGAUUAUAAUGUGUGCUCCCAGGUAAUUGAAGUCAUGCCUGGGUACCCUGUCUCUGUGCUGCCCCAGUAACCUUUUUUUUCUGCUGUGUGUCCCAGCCCCUGUGCCGCCCCACGCUCACAUUGUGCCGUGCAGAGCCCCUUAUAAUUCAUAAAGGCCAAAGGGUCAGGCCCGGUGAUAUAUUAUUGUUUCACUGUACUGGUGACGACGGGCACAGAAGGGAAGAGGCCGCGCCGAGUGCCGCCGAGCUCGGUGACUCACUGUAAGUGUAGAACCCAAGAAACAGCAGAAAUGUGGGAUGCAGGCAGAUUGGUAUCUGGGUCAUUCUCUUGGACUCGUGUGGCAAAGGCACCGGGCAAAGAGGAGUGUUGUGGCUGGUGUCACACGAACAUCUUCUUACCCCGAGGCUCGAGGUGAUGCACAGCUGAGCUGACUGAAGGAAACCCUUGAUAAGAACCAGGGACAUGGUUUACAUUCCUAUUUCUAUAUUGGCAGCAAGCCACCACCUUAAUCCCUCUGCCACCAUGUCCCUUUUCCAAAGGUUUUACAGUUUUUCCUGCUGUCACUGCUCAAGUUUAGAUGGUUACAUGGACCUUGUACUGUGCAUCCAAAUAAAUCCAUCUUGAGUACCCGAUCACGGCACAGAUGAACUUGACCUGGC